UACGUAGGGACCGAGCGUUGUCCGGAUUCAUUGGGCGUAAAGAGCUCGUAGGCGGCUGUUCAAGUCGAACGUGAAAACUCGGAGCUCAACUCCGAGCCUGCGUUCGAUACUGGACGGCUAGAGUCUGGUAGGGGGAUCUGGAAUUCCUGGUGUAGCGGUGGAAUGCGCAGAUAUCAGGAGGAACACCGAUGGCGAAGGCAGGUCUCUGGGCCAUAACUGACGCUGAGAAGCGAAAAGCAUGGGGAGCGAACAGG
rnacentral:rRNA from 1 species